rnacentral:rRNA from 1 species
AGCGAACGCUGGCGGCAGGCCUAACACAUGCAAGUCGAACGGACCCUUCGGGGUUAGUGGCGGACGGGUGAGUAACACGUGGGAACGUGCCUUUAGGUUCGGAAUAGCUCCUGGAAACGGGUGGUAAUGCCGAAUGUGCCCUUCGGGGGAAAGAUUUAUCGCCUUUAGAGCGGCCCGCGUCUGAUUAGCUAGUUGGUGAGAUAAUGGCUCACCAAUGCGACGAUCAGUAGCUGGUCUGAGAGGAUGACCAGCCACAUUGGGACUGAGACACGGCCCAAACUCCUACGGGAGGCAGCAGUGGGGAAUCUUGCGCAAUGGGCGAAAGCCUGACGCAGCCAUGCCGCGUGGAUGAUGAAGGUCUUAGGAUUGUAAAAUCCUUUCACCGGUGAAGAUAGUGACUGUAGCCGGAGAAGAAGCCCCGGCUAACUUCGUGCCAGCAGCCGCCGUAAGAC